rnacentral:sRNA from 1 species
CAGUGGAAAAGUCUGGGGCUGGUAAAUGGCUUAGGCAGAAGCGCUUGCACCGGCCAAACAUAACAGCCCAUCUCUGAACUAUGUCCUUGUCAAGGCUGGGAUGCACGCUGGCUUCUCUACACAGUCUGGCCCAGUGAUUUUCAUUAAGCCAACUCAUACCCAGUUUCUACAAAUGAAAAUCAAGUCAAUCAUCUAAAAUUUCAUGAUUUCUUCCCAUCAAGAGGAUCUGGAGUCUUCUGUUCCCAUUAAAACUGAAUUUAUGGCAGUGCAAACCUGGGCCAGACUGGGUAUAAAAUGACAAAAGCACAUUUAUAUUCUUAAAAAUUUCUGCAGAUUGCAUAGAAAGUUC